rnacentral:misc_RNA from 1 species
GAUGAAGAACGUAGCGAAAUGCGAUAAGUAGUGUGAAUUGCAGAAUUCAGUGAAUCAUCGAAUCUUUGAACGCACAUUGCGCCCUUUGGUAUUCCAAAGGGCAUGCCUGUUCGAGCGUCAUUUGUACCCUCAAGCUUUGCUUGGUGUUGGGCGUCUUGUCUCUAGCUUUGCUGGAGACUCGCCUUAAAGUAAUUGGCAGCCGGCCUACUGGUUUCGGAGCGCAGCACAAGUCGCACUCUCUAUCAGCAAAGGUCUAGCAUCCAUUAAGCCUUUUUUUCAACUUUUGACCUCGGAUCAGGUAGAGAUACCCGCUGAACUUAAGCAUAUCAAUAAGCGGAGGA